UACGUAGGUGGCGAGCGUUGUUCGGAUUUAUUGGGCGUAAAGGGUUCGUAGGGGGUUUGCCAAGUCUGAUGUGAAAGCCCGGGGCUCAACCCCGGAACUGCAUUGGAAACUGGUGAACUGGAGUGUCGGAGAGGUAAGCGGAAUUUCUGGUGUAGCGGUGGAAUGCGUAGAUAUCAGAAAGAACACCGAUAGCGAAGGCAGCUUACUGGACGAUGACUGACCCUGAGGGACGAAAGCGUGGGUAGCGAACAGG
rnacentral:rRNA from 1 species